rnacentral:rRNA from 1 species
AACUCGCCUACAUGAAGCUGGAAUUGCUAGUAAUCACAGGUCAGCAUACUGUGGUGAAUACGUUCCCGGGCCUUGUACACACCGCCCGUCACACCAUGAGAGUUGAGAAUACCCGAAGUCCAUGUCAAAGUGGCCGAAGGUAGGCUUGAUGAUUGGGGUGAAGUCGUAACAAGGUAUC